UAGUGGCGAACGGGUGAGUAACACGUGGGCAAUCUGCCCUUCACUCUGGGACAAGCCCUGGAAACGGGGUCUAAUACCGGAUAACACUCUGUCCCGCAUGGGACGGGGUUGAAAGCUCCGGCGGUGAAGGAUGAGCCCGCGGCCUAUCAGCUUGUUGGUGGGGUGAUGGCCUACCAAGGCGACGACGGGUAGCCGGCCUGAGAGGGCGACCGGCCACACUGGGACUGAGACACGGCCCAGACUCCUACGGGAGGCAGCAGUGGGGAAUAUUGCACAAUGGGCGAAAGCCUGAUGCAGCGACGCCGCGUGAGGGAUGACGGCCUUCGGGUUGUAAACCUCUUUCAGCAGGGAAGAAGCGCAAGUGACGGUACCUGCAGAAGAAGCGCCGGCUAACUACGUGCCAGCAGCCGCGGUAAUACGUCNGGGCGCAAGCGUUGUCCGGANNGGUG
rnacentral:rRNA from 1 species